GUGGCUGCCCAUUCUUGGAAACACCUCUCAGAGUAACUCUGGUUCUGCUUCGCUCAUAGGUCUAUUUCUUAGACCUGGGAGAAGGUUCUGCAGGACAGCA
rnacentral:snoRNA from 1 species